rnacentral:rRNA from 1 species
AGUGAACGCUGGCGGUAGGCCUAACACAUGCAAGUCGAACGGCAGCACAGUAAGAGCUUGCUCUUACGGGUGGCGAGUGGCGGACGGGUGAGGAAUACAUCGGAAUCUACUUUUUCGUGGGGGAUAACGUAGGGAAACUUACGCUAAUACCGCAUACGACCUACGGGUGAAAGCAGGGGAUCUUCGGACCUUGCGCGAUCGAAUGAGCCGAUGUCGGAUUAGCUAGUUGGCGGGGUAAGGCCCACCAAGGCGACGAUCCGUAGCUGGUCUGAGAGGAUGAUCAGCCACACUGGAACUGAGACACGGUCCAGACUCCUACGGGAGGCAGCAGUGGGGAAUAUUGGACAAUGGGCGCAAGCCUGAUCCAGCCAUACCGCGUGGGUGAAGAAGGCCUUCGGGUUGUAAAGCCCUUUUGUUGGGAAAGAAAAGCAGCAGGUUAAUACCCCGCUGUUCUGACGGUACCCAAAGAAUAAGCACCGGCUAACUUCGUG